rnacentral:misc_RNA from 1 species
AGCGGUGCUUCGAGGAGUACUACAAGACCAAGCAGGCGGAACAGAUGCUCAAGGAGGCCGUCGAGCCUACAACAAGGAACGCCAGCAGAUGAUCGGCGAUUUACCAAGGCCCAGGAGGAACUCGCCAAGCUGCGCGAAGAGGGUAACAAGCCGGAACUAUCCGCCGCGGUCAAGGCCGAGAAGACCAAGGAGGCCGACGCCAAGCUCAACGACCUGAAAGAAACAGAAGGAAGAUAUCGACAAGUUUGGACGCGGUGCGACGCCAGGCUCUCCAGGAGCAGAACAACCGCAUGCGCGGCGGCAUCGUCAAGGAGAUCACCGAACAGAUCACCAAGAUCGGCAAGUCGCAAAACUACACGCUCGUGAUCGACAGCUCGGGCCUCAGCGCCAACGGCGUCUCCCUGGUGGUGUUCUUCGAGGACCGGCUCGAGAUCACAGCCGAGAUCGUGCGUGAGUUGAACCGCAACGCGCCGAUUCUCGAGCCGGCCAAGCCCGCUGGCGGUAAGACCAAUGAACCCGCCAAGGGCGCGGCUUCCCGCAGGGAAAUAACCAGCAUUGCAGAAUCCCCAUCAAGGGCGGACGUGACGAGCGUUCGCCCUUUGCUUUUGGUUGGAAGCCACGCCGGAGUCAAAAACCGGUUUACAAACGCGAUGAGUGCUCUACAAUCACGCCUUCAAGAGUAAGGUGAAUCCAGGAAUGCAUUUUGUUCCUUCGAGGAUGUUCCUGACCAAGGGCGUGGGCGUCCACAAGCAGGAGCUGCGAUCGUUCGAGAUCGCGUUGCGCGACGCGGGCAUCGAGAAGUGCAACCUCGUGAUGGUGUCGAGCAUCCUGCCGCCGCGUGCAGAAUCAUCCCGCGCAAACAGGGGCUGCAAUUGCUUCAGCCGGGACAGAUCACAUUCGCCGUGAUGGCCCGAGCCACCACCAACGAACCGCAUCGGCUCAUCGCCACCUCCAUCGGCCUCGCGGUGCCGUCCGAUGAGAACGCCUACGGCUACCUGAGCGAGUUGCAUGGCUACGGAAAUGAACGACGACACCGCCGGGGAUCUCGCCGAGAGCAUGGCGGCCGCAAUGCUUGCUUCGACACUCGGCGUCGAGUUCAACGAGGACGCCGCCUGGGACGAGAAGAAGGAAGUCUUCCGCAUCAGCGACAAGAUCGUGCGCACCACCAACGUCACCCAGACCGCCGUGGGCAACUCACAGGGCCUGUGGACCACGUGCAUCACGGCUGCAAUCUGCAUUUUCUAGGUCUCGGUAGCACGAGUGGAAACGAGUGGAAAGGCAGUCCGCCCGCUUACGUUCGCAGCUACGCGGUUACUUCCGCUCGAAGUAUCUCUUGAUCCCCU